CCUGCUCAACAUCAUAUCCACCUGCCCCCCAACACGCCACCCUGCACAGUGUCACAUCCAUCUAAGUCAUAAUUCAAAAAAUGCCUUAGGCUCGUAAGAGAUGGUACGGGGGCUGAGGGUCAUGUUAGUUCUGGUGUGGGAGGCAAAGAUGCAGUCUUUUCAGAAUGUAUGGAAUUUCGAGACUCCGUUGUAAAGGGGGGUGAACAACUUCAGCAGCAGUCUCUUCAGAUUUUAAAGAGCAUUGAGCUUCUGCCAUAGAAGGAGAGCAGAUAUUCCCUGACCCAUUGUCCCCUGCAGCAGUUGACCUCCUGUAUCCCAGAGAGUAUCUCACCUCCUUUAUCCUGAAGGGGUUUGUCACUCUCCUGGUCCUCUCAGCAGCACUUGGCUCUGCAGGCUCAUCCUCAGCCCCACAGCUGGGUGAUCUCCUCUUCCUCACAACCAGGGCACCACUCCAUGGCAACUGACUAAAGAGACGUGGACUCCAUGGUUUGCACACAUGAAGCCGUUUAUUGAUUCACAAAGUUGAGCUUAUAUACCUUUUCAGCAAUUAGUAAAAAUAGCAAAAGUAUAACAUUUAUGUAAUUAGGUAACAUUGCUUAAUUCAGAGCCUCGUACUAACUAACACAGGUAUAUGUUAUCCCAUGUAAGUUCUGCUUACCAAGCACAUUGUACCAAGCACACUGCUAACUUCUGCAUUCCUUCUUCAAGGUUCUGCUUUCUGUUGCCAAGGCUUGUGGCCUACUAAAGCUAACAUAUCCACUUCUGCCAUGAGCUGGACAGCGCUCCCAGCUCAGCUUUCUGGCUGUGUUCCUACAAGGUCCUGCACAUGGGUCAGCACAAACACAGACUGGGCAAAGAAUGAACAGGGAGCAGCCCUGGGGAGAAGAAUUUUUAGAGUGUUGAUGGGUGAGAAGUUAAACAGGAUUGACCAUAUGUGCUGAGAGCCCAGAAGCCUCCAUGUGUCACUGUUGAGGCAGGGAUUGAAAGAAAAGACUCCAGUGGUUCAGAAGGCAAGAGAAAAAUCUUUAUUACAGGAAGUAGCAUUCUUUUUUAUAACCAGGAUCACUAAGGUGAAAUAUGAUUUGUCUCAAAGUGAAAACCUUUCACGCCAUUGGUGCACUAUGGUAGAACAUAUCUAUAAACAAUAUUAACAGAAAGAGAGUUAAUAAUUGUUUUAAUUCCUUCUCCUAACUUUCCCAGGUUAGGCCUGGGAGAAUUCCCUCUCUUUUCUCUCUGACUGAAUUGAGCAUAUCCACACCCAUGUGCUGGGCUGAUCAGGUUCUGCCCCUCUGUUCUGCUCAGGUGAGACCCCACCUGCAGAGCUGCCUCCAGCUCUGGGGUCCAGCAUCAGAAGGACAUGGAGCUACUGGAGCAAGUUCAGAGGCGGCCAUGGAGAUGU